rnacentral:rRNA from 1 species
AAGGCGGCUUACCAGCCCGAUACUGACGCUCAGUCACGAAAGCGUGGGGAGCAAAUAGGCUUAGAUACCCUAGUAGUCCACGCCGUAAACGUUGAGGACCUGAUGCCGGAGUAUUUCGGUGUCGUAGCUAACGCGUUAAGUCCUCCGCCUGGGUACUACGUUCGCAAGAAUAAAACUUAAAGGAAUUGACGGGCGCCCGCACAAGCAGUGGAGCAUGGGGUUUAAUUCGUCGAUACACGAAAAACCUUACCAGGGCUUGACAUCCCGCUAAAAGCCUUAGAAAUAAGGAAAUAGUUAUAGCGGUGACAGGUGGUGCAUGGUUGUCGUCAGCUCGUGCCGUGAGGUGUUAGGUUAAGUCCUCAAACGAGCGCAACCCUUGUCUUUAGUUGCCAUUAUUAAUUUAGGAACUCUAGAGAGACUGCCGGCGCAAGCCGGAGGAAGGCGGGGAUGACGUCAAAUCAUCAUGCCCUUUAUGCCCUGGGCCACACCCGUGCUACAAUGGUCGGUACAAAGAGAAGCAACACUGUGAGGUGAAGCAAAUCCCAUAAAGCCGAUCUCAAUUCGGAUUGAAGUCUGCAACUCGACUUCAUGAAGCUGGAAUUGCUAGUAAUCGCAGAUCAGCAACGCUGCGGUGAAUACGUUCUCGGGCGUUGUACACACUGCCCGUCACACCAUGAGAGCCGGUAAUACUCGAAGUCGUUAGCCUAACCGUAAGGAGGGCGGCGCCUAAGGUAGGACUGGUGAUUGGGGUUAAGUCGUAACAAGGUAUCCCUACGAGAACGUGGGGAUG